rnacentral:miRNA from 1 species
CUCGGUUCAAAACUUAACUGAAAAUGCAAGACUUGCUUUAAUUGUUUUCCUUCAAUUUCUUUCUGUAUUAUUUACUAUAAUGGAACUCAUGUUAUUUACACUGUGCUAGAUCAAUAAAUAUAAACACCGACAGAAAACAAUUACAGCAAGUCUUGCAUUUUCGGUUCAGUUUUGAACCGAG